CCGACUCAAAAGCGAGCUUUGGCCGCGUGAGAAAUGGCAGGAAGGAGCCUGCUGGCGCGCGUCCGACUCCUGAGCCUGCAGCCCGGCACAGGACGCGCUGGGCUAGUAUAGCAUCGAGAAAAUAAAAGCCGAUUAUCCUAGGUCUACAUUUUGAGUGGAAAAGAAGCUGACCACGCUCACCGCAGACGUGCUGACGGCGAGGACUACAGUCGUAAGAGCUGCGGGAGGGCUGGAGCGGGGACGGGUCCUGUCCUGGAAGGCCGAGGACGCCAGGCGCUGCUGAGGGGUCGGAGUGGAGUGCUGGGCGAGAGAAGCUUGUAAGAAUUUCCUCAGGGACUCUGCCCUCGAGCUGCGCCUGGCCGCGUGCUGGAUGCUGACGCAGGAGGAGGAGCGCCACGGGUUUCCCGCGUAGGAAGCGGCAGGAUCCAGGGCACAGCGGGCUGGGGUUCAGGGCACUCGGAAUUGGCCCAGCAUCUUGGCUGGCCAGAAACUAGGCUAAGGCGUUGGUUAGAGUGAGUUAGGUUGUGGAGAGUGUCAAAUACCAGGCUCAGGUGUUAGAAAUGCAUUGAAUCAUCAGUGCAGGCUAUUCACGUAUAAUAUGGCUAGAACAGUGUUCAGGGCAGUGUCUAUACCGUAUAGAGUGGAUUAAAGGGCCAAAGAGAUGAAAGAAUACAGGUGACACGUGAAUCUAGCAAAAUGUAAUAUAAUCUGUGAAAAUAUGAUUAAAAAUAGGGCUGACAUUGUAAUAAAAUCUGUGAAAAUAUGAUUGAAAAAGGGAUGAUAUCGCCAUGGGAGGUCUUUUGGAAAAUAAACGGGAUUGUGAAAUACCGUUUUGGAAUAGGCGGAGGAAAAGGAGUUAGAAGGGGAGCUGCUCAGGGAGCGCCCAGAUGGUUCAAACAUCAUAAAAGCUACGGUGUUUCAGGAGAGGGAACAGGUGACUAGCAGAUGCUGCAGAGAGCCAAAAGAGGGUAAGAACUAAGGUGAUGCUGGAAUUAGGGGGAAUGGCAGGAGGACAAGAGAGAGACGUUACCUGUGGACAGUCCUUUCCAGUGGUUCAGAAGAGUUGGUAGACUGAAAAUAGAAAUAAUCUCUUUUUAGAAUUGUGAUACUGCAGGAAAGGAAAAAGGAUACUGAUUGAACUAAGCAAAAGAAUUGAAAGUAUUUUUUUUUAAAAGGGUAGUGGAGGCCUAAUUAAAUUUGUAGAAAAAAGGGUAAAGUUUAAUAGGGACAAGAAAUUGAAGAUGGGAGAAAAGAGAGCCAGCUGAUGGGGAGGGAAUGAGACAAGAUAGGCUGGUGAAGUUGUCUCAGAAAAGAAGGGAGAGAUUUGUUCCUGAAUAGGAGGAAAAUGGAGGGUGAGUGAAGACAGAAAUACUGCAAGAGAGAAGUUGAAGGUGUUUAUGUCAGAUGACUCUGACCACAAAGGUGUUAAUCAGAAGAUGUUACAACCAAUGACUGAAAGAGACAACUAGGUAUUUCAAGUUAUGUUCUGUAUCUACUAUCAAUAUAGAAGCCAUUAACCACAUAUGGCUAUGUAUAGAAAACAGCCUGUUUUCUACAUGGCAUGACAAGAGUAAUGCCAUCUUGAAGUGAAACCAUCAUAACGACCAGUGUUUCACUCUUGUAUACCAAGGCAUUCCCCCAGCAAGGUCAAGAAACAAUGCCUCUAGGAUAGAUAACCUCUCAAAAAGAAACAAUACCUGUGGCAUACAAAACCCCUCAUAAAAAUGAUUAUCUAACUUUCUCACUGGUCAGAGUUUUGCAAGAGGAUCUCAGACAUGACCAGCUGCUCAUGUUUUACCAAAAAAAA